rnacentral:rRNA from 1 species
GCGAUCAUACCAGCACUAAUGCACCGGAUCCCAUCAGAACUCCGAAUUUAAGAUUGCUUGGGCGAGGGCAGUACUAGGAUGGGAUACUCCCUGGGAAGUCCUCGUGUUGAACAUA